ACAGCCACAUCAAUUUGAAACACCGGUUCUCAUACGAUCACCGAAGUUAAGCAACGUCGAACCUGGUCAGUACCUAGAAGGGUGACCACUUGAUAAUUUCUGCCGCUGUAA